rnacentral:rRNA from 1 species
CACGUAGGGGCCAAGCGUUGUCCGGAUUUAUUGGGCGUAAAGAGCUCGUAGGCGGUUCGACAAGUCGGGUGUGAAAACUCCGGGCUCAACCCGGAGACGCCACCCGAUACUGUCGUGACUGGAGUCCGGUAGGGGAGUGGGGAAUUCCUGGUGUAGCGGUGAAAUGCGCAGAUAUCAGGAAGAACACCAAUGGCGAAAGCAGCUCUCUGGGACGGUACUGACGCUGAGACGCGAAAGCGUGGGGAGCGAACAGG